rnacentral:rRNA from 1 species
CCUANGGGAGGCAGCAAUUAGGAAUCUUGCGCAAUGGGCGAAAGCCUGACGCAGCGACGCCGCGUGACUGAUGAAGUCCUUCGGGAUGUAAAGGUCUUUUUUGGGGGAAGAAGGAUGUGACGGUACCCCAAGAAUAAGCCCCGGCUAACUACGUGCCAGCAGCCGCGGUAAUACGUAGGGGGCGAGCGUUGUCCGAAUUCACUGGGCGUAAAGCGCGCGUAGGCGGGUUCUUAAGUUGGUGGUGAAAUGCCGAGGCUCAACCUCGGAACUGCCUCCAAAACUGGGAGCCUUGAGGUAUGGAGAGGGAAGUGGAAGUCCUGGUGUAGCGGUGAAAUGCGUAGAUAUCAGGAGGAACACCCGUGGCGAAGGCGGCUUCCUGGCCAUAAUCUGACGCUGAGGUGCGAAAGCUAGGGGAGCGAACGGGAUUAGAUACCCUANUANUC